rnacentral:rRNA from 1 species
AAUAUCAAAGGUGAGCCAGUACAGGAUGGACCCGCGUCUGAUUAGCUAGUUGGUAAGGUAACGGCUUACCAAGGCGACGAUCAGUAGCCGACCUGAGAGGGUGAUCGGCAACAUUGGAACUGAGACACGGUCCAAACUCCUACGGGAGGCAGCAGUGGGGAAUAUUGCACAAUGGGCGAAAGCCUGAUGCAGCAACGCCGCGUGAGUGAUGAAGGCCUUCGGGUCGUAAAACUCUGU